rnacentral:rRNA from 1 species
UACGUAGGGUGCAAGCGUUAAUCGGAAUUACUGGGCGUAAAGCGUGCGCAGGCGGUUUUGUAAGACAGUGGUGAAAUCCCCCGGGCUCAACCUGGGAACUGCCAUUGUGACUGCAAAGCUAGAGUACGGUAGAGGGGGAUGGAAUUCCGCGUGUAGCAGUGAAAUGCGUAGAUAUGCGGAGGAACACCGAUGGCGAAGGCAAUCCCCUGGACCUGUACUGACGCUCAUGCACGAAAGCGUGGGGAGCAAACAGG